rnacentral:lncRNA from 1 species
UUAAAUGUAAAAAAAUGCACUUCUAUAAGGGUAACAGUGACACAAGUGUAUAGUUGAAGUGUGCACUUAAAACCAAGCUUUAUUGCAAUUUCACAGAUAAUCGCAGAAAUUCAAAUGAUUAGAUUAGGGCAGAAGGAAAGCUAUCUCUCAAACUGUACAACUGGUACAGUGCAAUUUUACAUCAAAUGGUCAUUGGAAAAGCAGAAUGCAUUAUAACAGCAGCUGUGGAUGGCAGGGCACACAAUCUCAAAAUGACAAGGAUAAAUUCUGCCUUCAAGUCUUGCCAAAUACAAGUUUAUUAUAGGAGCCAGACCUCUUUAUCAAAACUGAA